CGUUACGGUUAUAACGAACAACAACAAAAUAAACUUGAUUGGUUUUUAGACAAGAUCUACGAAGACUUUAAACAACACGUGGCCACAGGCAGGAAUCUUGAUAACGAGAAAGUGGAAGAGAUCGCUCAAGGACGAGUCUGGACUGGUCGGCAGGCUCAUUCCCUGGGGCUCGUGGACCAGCUCGGAGGCUUCCACACCUCCAUCUUGGCAGUAAAACAACUGUUAAAUAUAAGCCCUCAUGCACCUGUAAAGCUCAUAGAGUUUCCGCAGUGGUCUUUAAAGAGUCUCUUUGGGAAUUAUAAUAAUUCGCGAGAGAUCUUUGAAUCAGCACCAUGGGGCUCGUUCGCUUUGCGCUUUUUGUUUGAGCAUAUAAAAAGUUACCUUUUUU